AUAAGGAGAAAAAAAUAAAUUGGCAUCAAGCUUUUGUAGAUAAUGUCAAACAUUAUCUAUAUGGUAUCCAAUUUAAAUCUCAUUUGAACAUACCAAAUAAAAUUAGAUCUCAUCCAAUUUUGGAUGUGAGAUAGAGAGGGUGAGAGACUCUUUGGUGUGAAAAAAAUCUCAUGCAAAAACUAUUUGUGUGUAAAGAAGAAUGGCAUCAAAAAUUAUGGUGUA
rnacentral:lncRNA from 1 species